rnacentral:rRNA from 1 species
AUGAUGGAGGUGGCGGUGGAGAGCCCGCAGGGGGCUGCGUGGGACCACUUCAAGGAGGAGGUGGAGAUCAUGGAGGAGGACGGUGGCGCUGCUGCCGCGGUGGCCGCCGCCGCCGCUGCGGCUGCACGGGAGCUGCUGACCAGGGAGAUAAAGAAGAGGCUGCUGGACCAUACCCACGAGAAUGGGAAUGGCCAUGGCCAUGCCAAUGGAGGAGGACCAGAGGAGCUCGAGGCUACUCCUGAGGUGGAGGAGGAGGAUGCUCCUCAAGAGCCCAAGGUUGCUGAAGAGGAGCAGCAGCGGCACAAGAGUACCUUCUUCGAUGCAGCCAAAGGACUAUGGAAGUGCUGGCACUGCGAUUGGGCGUACCGCUUGGCUAGUCGGUGCGGAAAUAGUACCGCCGCUGCUGCUGCUGCCACCCCAGGGGAGCUGUUGACCAGGCAGAUCAAGAAGAGGCUGCUGGUCCAUGCCCAUGAGAAUGGGAAUGGUCAUGGCCAUGUCAAUGGAGAAGAAGCAGAGGAGCUCGAGGCUUCUGAGGAGGAGCAGAAGGAGGAGGAAGAGGCUCCUGAUGAACCCAAGGUUGCUGAAGAGGAGCAGCAGCCGCACAAGAGUAUCUUCUUCGAUGCAGCCAAAGGACUGUGGAAGUGCCGGCACUGCGAUUGGACGUACCGCCUGAGUAGUCCGUGUGGAAAUGGUACCGUAGAACAUCGAGGCUUAUUAAAACCAGAGCAUUUGGCAGUUGAAUCAUAUUCGGAGAACCAAGCUGCUGCAGAUCCAGUGACGAUGCCACUUCAGUCCGAGAUGCAGGACUCCAUCGACACAAGCACUAAAACUGAAUCUCGCACAUAUGCUCAUCAUAGUCAUGGCACAAUUGUAAAACCAGAACACUCGAUAACCGAAUCAUCAUCGGAAGAUCAUAGCACGACAACCACGACAACUACAACCACAUUGGCAACUGCUACCACAUCCUCUACAACCACAUCAGCAGCAGCGACAACCUACUCAUCGUCUUCUACAGGAAUCUUUCACGUAGAAGUAAUGGAGGAGAUGACAGGUGAGAUGCCUCCCCCGAAGCGUGCCGAUGGAGUUAUCAUGGAUGCAAUUCACCACCUACUUGGACAUGAAGAUGUUCAUGGAACUACGACGACAACCUUCGAGAAUGGCUCAUUAACCACCCAUGUAAGUCACACAACAGAACUCAAGGUCGAUUGCCUGAAUGUGACCACUAUGGCGAGGGGCAAUAUACCAACCUCGCCGAUUCCUCAAGCAGCAGAUCAACCUUAUGUAGCAGUGUCAGUCCCUGAAGAUCUGAAUCCGGCUGCUCAUAGCCCCCAACAAAGUGAUGAAUGGGAUAUACCAAAAGCCAUAGUGUAUGGUGGCUUAGUGGAGUCAGUCACCAGCCUCUCCGUUGUUUCAGCAGCAGCAUCAAGUGGAGCAAAAACAUUGGACAUAUUCAUCUUGGGCAUAGCCAACCUUAUGGGAGGGCUUCCUCUCAUUUUCCACAAUAUUGCCGAUCUAAGAGACAUUCGAGAUGUGACCGAGGACAACGAGCGGGUCGGCCACUACUGGUUGCAGCUUGGCAGGCGGUCGAAAGCCCGACUCCACAUGAUCCUGGCCCUUCUCUCAUACAUCGUGUUCGGGCUACUUCCACCAAUCCUCUACGGGCUGUCGUUCCGUGAGAGCAAUGACAGGGAGAACAAGAUGACGGCAGUCGCCGGUGCUUCACUCGCCUGCAUUUCUUUUCUAGCACUUGGAAAGGCGCAUGUCAAGGGAGCACCCAGGACAUACUUCAAGACCCUAAUGUACUACCUGACGGUCGCUGUGAGCUCAUCGGGGCUGUCGUACGUCGCCGGCGUGCUGAUCACGCGGCUCUUAGUGUACUUUGGAAUUAUCGAGCAAGGUGGGUCGGCUGCUCCUCCUUCUCCGGGCCUGUCGUUCCCUCAUUCAGUGGGUGCACAAACAUCUGCCUGGGCCUCAUUCUGA